CCCAGGGUGUUUUCUUGAAACUGGUAUCAUGCCGGGCUCAUAAUCCGGAGUUCCAGGUUCGAGUCCUGGCCCUGGAACCA
rnacentral:tRNA from 1 species